rnacentral:rRNA from 1 species
GAUGAACGCUGGCGGCGUGCCUAAUACAUGCAAGUCGAGCGAACAGAUGAGGAGCUUGCUCCUCUGACGUUAGCGGCGGACGGGUGAGUAACACGUGGAUAACCUACCUAUAAGACUGGGAUAACUUCGGGAAACCGGAGCUAAUACCGGAUAAUAUAUUGAACCGCAUGGUUCAAUAGUGAAAGACGGUUUUGCUGUCACUUAUAGAUGGAUCCGCGCCGCAUUAGCUAGUUGGUAAGGUAACGGCUUACCAAGGCAACGAUGCGUAGCCGACCUGAGAGGGUGAUCGGCCACACUGGAACUGAGACACGGUCCAGACUCCUACGGGAGGCAGCAGUAGGGAAUCUUCCGCAAUGGGCGAAAGCCUGACGGAGCAACGCCGCGUGAGUGAUGAAGGUCUUCGGAUCGUAAAACUCUGUUAUUAGGGAAGAACAAAUGAGUAAGUAACUAUGCACGUCUUGACGGUACCUAAUCAGAAAGCCACGGCUAACUGCGUG